rnacentral:rRNA from 1 species
GAUGAACGCUGGCGGCGUGCCUAAUACAUGCAAGUCGAGCGAACAGACGAGGAGCUUGCUCCUCCGACGUUAGCGGCGGACGGGUGAGUAACACGUGGAUAACCUACCUAUAAGACUGGGAUAACUUCGGGAAACCGGAGCUAAUACCGGAUAAUAUAUUGAACCGCAUGGUUCAAUAGUGAAAGACGGUUUUGCUGUCACUUAUAGAUGGAUCCGCGCCGCAUUAGCUAGUUGGUAAGGUAACGGCUUACCAAGGCAACGAUGCGUAGCCGACCUGAGAGGGGGAGGGGCAAAAGGGGAACUGAGCCACGAAAAAGACGCAAACGGGAGGAGGCAGAGGGGAAUUUGCGGUAAGGGGGGAAGGCGUGAAGAAGAAAGGUAGAGGGAGAGAAAAAGGGAUUGGGAUCGAAAAACACUUUUAUAAGGAAAAAAAAAAUGGGAAAGAAACAAGGCAGGUCUGGAAGAAGCGAAAUAAGAAAGAAACGGCAAAUAAGGUG